AAGAAAUUAGUUUAUUAAAAAUGUUAAGUUUGAAACUUAAAGAGGGCGAAAGCUGUUUUUUUUUU
rnacentral:tRNA from 1 species